rnacentral:rRNA from 1 species
GACGAACGCUGGCGGCAUGCCUAACACAUGCAAGUCGAACGGAGAUUAUUUCGGUAAUCUUAGUGGCGAACGGGUGAGUAACGCGUGGGCAACCUGCCCUCUAGAUGGGGACAACAUCCCGAAAGGGGUGCUAAUACCGAAUGUGACAGCAAUCUCGCAUGAGGAUGCUGUGAAAGAUGGCCUCUAUUUAUAAGCUAUCGCUAGAGGAUGGGCCUGCGUCUUAUUAGCUAGUUGGUGGGGUAACGGCCUACCAAGGCGAUGAUCAGUAGCCGGUCUGAGAGGAUGAACGGCCACAUUGGGACUGAGACACGGCCCAGACUCCUACGGGAGGCAGCAGUGGGGAAUCUUCCGCAAUGGGCGAAAGCCUGACGGAGCAAUGCCGCGUGAGUGAUGAAGGAAUUCGUUCCGUAAAGCUCUUUUGUUUAUGACGAAUGUGCAGAUUGUGAACAAUGAUCUGUAAUGACGGUAGUAAACGAAUAAGCCACGGCUAACUACGUG